GGCACUGUGGCUUAGCUGGUCAAAGCGCCUGUCUUUGUAAACAUGAGAUCAUGGGCUUAAAUCCCAGCAGCGCCA
rnacentral:tRNA from 1 species